rnacentral:rRNA from 1 species
GUGGGGAAUCUUGGACAAUGGGGGCAACCCUGAUCCAGCCAUGCCGCGUGAUCGAUGAAGGCCUUAGGGUUGUAAAGAUCUUUCAGCGGGGAAGAUAAUGACGGUACCCGCAGAAGAAGCCCCGGCUAACUCCGUGCCAGCAGCCGCGGUAAUACGGAGGGGGCUAGCGUUGUUCGGAAUUACUGGGCGUAAAGCGCACGUAGGCGGAUUGGAAAGUUGGGGGUGAAAUCCCAGGGCUCAACCCUGGAACUGCCUCCAAAACUUCCAGUCUUGAGUCCGAGAGAGGUGAGUGGAAUUCCGAGUGUAGAGGUGAAAUUCGUAGAUAUUCGGAGGAACACCAGUGGCGAAGGCGGCUCACUGGCUCGGUACUGACGCUGAGGUGCGAAAGCGUGGGGAGCAAACAGGAUUAGAAACCCUAGUAGUCC